rnacentral:misc_RNA from 1 species
CGGAAGCACGGUGCCGGAUAACGUCCGGCGAGGGUGACCUCAGGGAAAGUGCCACAGAAAGCAAACCGCUCCGCUUGCGGAGUAAGGGUGAAAGGGUGGGGUAAGAGCCCACCGCGGACAUGGCGACAUGGACGGCACGGCAAACCCCACCGGGAGCAAGACCGAAUAGGGAUGACGCGGACGCGCAAGCGCCCAGCCUGUUUCCGGGCCAGUCAUCCGGGUGGGUUGCAAGAGGCUGCGUGCAAACGUAGUCCCAGAUGAAUGGCUGCCACGUUCCGUUGCCUUCGGGUGGCGGGG